UUCCGUUGAUCUGAUGAGGUUAUAUUAGUUGUGUAUGUUGUGGUGGAAUACAGUAUCUGAUGAUCCUGGCAGGUUUGGGUUAAGCGGUGUUAACUCGGUCACUGACCCGGUUCAGUGUGAACGGGUUGUGACAAAAACUAUUUGAAAUCACUACAGAAUCUUCGAUUGAAAGCAGUUAGAAAAUAUUUCGUUUUUAUUGCUCAAUCGUUAAUUUCACUUAGUAAUACUAAUAAUAAAUGAUUGAAUUCUAAUAUGCAGAUAGAUGCAUUGAUUACAUAACUUCAGUUUCAGUCUAAAAGGAAUCGAAAUUAUGUUGUUUUAGGUUUUCUGACACUUCAGUUAAUGAAUCAGAGAGCUUUGACUUACUUUUCUGCUUGAUUGGAAAAAGAGAAGAAUAGGUAUGGAUUUAUUAAGUCUUUUGCCGAUUCUUCGACGGAACACUUGUUCUGUAUCUCUUGGAUUUUUUUAAUAUAUAUAUAUAUAUAUAUUCAUUACUCUUUAUCUAUAGGUAUAUGCAUGAUUCAUUGAAAGAAUUGAAUGAUAGUAGUAGACAGGGAAUGAAACGUCUGAGAUUUAAGUAGUCUGUGAUUCUCUGUUGCAAGAUGUUUGUGAUUCAAUUUGGUAAUUGUGUGGAAGGAGUAGUUGUAACUUGUAAGUUCAUAUUGAGUGUUCAUAUAAUUAAUGUGGUAUGUGCUUCGGCAGAAGGGAUGGAUAUAACUGAGGUCUCUAUCAUACAUCAUGUUGCCAUUGUGUUCUUGGCGCUGUGGAUUUUGUCUUCAUUCAUUGGUGCCAUCAUGUCUUUUAAUUCAUAAGUUUGAUCUAUCUCUAUCAGGUAAUGCUGUUGCCCCUUCAUGUUUGAGUGUUUCGGUUCUACUUUGUUGAAAGGUGAUUUUUUACUAAGCAUGAAACUAAGAAAAUUAAAUUUUUGCUGUUGAAUCUAACACUUCAGUGAGAUGGGUUACAUCAUGUUUCCUCAUAAUAUGCCUCUUCUGUCUUCUUUGACCCAAUCUGAGCUUUUGUUUCUCUUCUAAAAAAUUCAUGAGCGUUGCUCUCUGAGGCUGUGGAGGAGAAUAAAAGGUGGAAAGAAAGCAAGCAAAUCAGAGAAGGGUACUUUCCAAUUCAGAGACGGUCCGGUGGUUGAACCAUGCAGUAGAGAAAGUCUGGUCAAUAUGCAUGGAACAGGUUGCACCACAGAAACUCCUUCCUCUCAUACCUUGGUUCUUUGGAGAAGUACACCUUGGACUGCUGUAUGAAUUUACUUUCUGAGUAUUUGUAAUCCAGAGAUCAUCCUAAGAUGUACUUUCUUGCUGCAGUGAUUUGCUUUUAAUACCAUUACCGAUAAUAUUUAGUAUGAAGAUCAUAACCAUUGUAUCCA